rnacentral:rRNA from 1 species
ACUCCUACGGGAGGCAGCAGUGGGGAAUUUUGGACAAUGGGCGCAGGCCUAAUCCAGCAAUGCCGCGUGAGUGAAGAAGGCCUUCGGGUUGUAAAGCUCUUUCAGUUGAAAAGAAAAAGUCGUGACUGAUAAUCAUGGCUCAUGACGGUAUCAACAGAAGAAGCACCGGCUAACUACGUGCCAGCAGCCGCGGUAAUACGUAGGGUGCAAGCGUUAAUCGGAAUUACUGGGCGUAAAGGGUGCGCAGGCGGUUCUGUAAGUCAGAUGUGAAAUCCCCGGGCUUAACCUGGGAACUGCGUUUGAAACUGCAGAGCUAGAGUGCGGCAGAGGGAGGUGGAAUUCCAUGUGUAGCAGUGAAAUGCGUAGAGAUAUGGAAGAACAUCGAUGGCGAAGGCAACCUCCUGGGCUAGCACUGACGCUCAUGCACGAAAGCGUGGGGAGCAAACAGGAUUGGAUACCCUGGUAGUCCACGCCCUAAACUAUGUCAACUAGUUGUCGGGUCUUAAUAGACUUGGUAACGUAGCUAACGCGUGAAGUUGACCGCCUGGGGUGUACGGUCGCAAGAUUAAAACUCAAAGGAACUGACGGGGACCCGCACAAGCGGUGGAUUAUGUGGAUUAAUUCUAUGCAACGCGAAAAACCUUACCUACCCUUGACAUGUCAGAAAAUUUUCAGAGAUGAAUUUGUGCCCGAAAGGGAAUCUGAACACAGGUGCUGCAUGGCUGUCGUCAGCUCGUGUCGUGAGAUGUUGGGUUAAGUCCCGCAACGAGCGCAACCCUUGUCAUUAAUUGCCAUCAUUUAGUUGGGCACUUUAAUGAGACUGCCGGUGAUAAACCGGAGGAAGGUGGGGAUGACGUCAAGUCCUCAUGGCCCUUAUGGGUAGGGCUUCACACGUAAUACAAUGGCG